GAUGAACGCUGGCGGCGUGCCUAAUACAUGCAAGUCGAGCGAACGGACGAGAAGCUUGCUUCUCUGAUGUUAGCGGCGGACGGGUGAGUAACACGUGGAUAACCUACCUAUAAGACUGGGAUAACUUCGGGAAACCGUAGCUAAUACCGGAUAAUAUUUUGAACCGCAUGGUUCAAAAGUGAAAGACGGUCUUGCUGUCACUUAUAGAUGGAUCCGCGCUGCAUUAGCUAGUUGGUAAGGUAACGGCUUACCAAGGCAACGAUGCAUAGCCGACCUGAGAGGGUGAUCGGCCACACUGGAACUGAGACGCGGACCAGACUACUACGGGAGGCAGCAGUAGGGAAUCAUCCGCAAUGGGCGAAGGAAUGACGGGGCAACGGCGGGUGAGUGAUGGAGGUCUUCGGAACGUAAAACUCUGUUAUUAGGGAAGAACAUAUGUGUAAGUAACUGUGCACAUCGUGACGGUACCUAAUCAGAAAGCCACGGCUAACUACGUG
rnacentral:rRNA from 1 species